UACAGAGGUGGCAAGCGUUGUUCGGAAUUACUGGGCGUAAAGGGCGCGUAGGCGGCCCGUCAAGUCCCGUGUGAAAGCCCCCGGCUCAACCGGGGAACUGCACGGGAAACUAGCAGGCUUGAGUUCGGGAGAGGGAAGCGGAAUUUCGGGUGUAGCGGUGAAAUGCGUUGAUAUCGGAAGGAACGCCGGUGGCGAAGGCAGCACUCUGGGCCGGUACUGACGCUGAGGAGCGAAAGCAUGGGGAGCGAACAGG
rnacentral:rRNA from 1 species